rnacentral:rRNA from 1 species
GACACGCUGGCGGCGUGGAUUAGGCAUGCAAGUCGAACGGUAUCAUCCUUUCGGGGGUGAGAGAGUGGCGAACUGGUGAGUAACACGUAGGUUAUCUACCCUCAAGACGGGGACAACCCAGGGGAAACUUGGGCUAAUACCGGAUGUGAGCAACUUUUAGUGUUUGAAAGGUGGCGUAAGCUGUCGCUUGGGGAUGAGCCUGCGUCUUAUUAGUUAGUUGGUGAGGUAACGGCUCACCUAGGCAAUGAUAGGUAGGCGGCCUUAACGGGUGGUCGCCCACACUGGGAUUGAGAUACGGCCCAGACUCCUACGGGAGGCAGCAGUCGAGAAUAGUCUACAAUGGUCGGAAGACUGAUAGUGCGACGCCGCGUGAACGAUGAAUCCCUUCGGGGUGUAAAGUUCUUUUAUAUGUGAGCAGUGCUUCUUAUAUUAACAGUAUGGGGAGAGAGAUAUUAGCAUAUGAAUAAGCAACGGCUAACUCCGUG